rnacentral:rRNA from 1 species
AUGGAUAAUUUCUUCAACUCUGUGUUCUCCGCCGCCGCCGCCGGCGAGCACGAGGAAGAGGAGGGCGAGGAGGAGGAGCGGGAGGGCGAGCAAGCAGCGGAGAGGGACGGGGGCGGCGAUUCUGGUGGCGGGUGGAGCUUCGGUGGGCUGAUGAAGACACUCGCCGAGGAGAUUGAGGGGCAGAGGGAAGAGCAGGAUGAGGGCGGGCAAGGCGGCAUGGCGGCAGCGGAUGAAGUGCAGGGAGAGGAAGGGGGUGGCUCCGGCGGCGGAUGGAGUUUCGCUGGGCUGAUCAAGACGCUCGCGGAGGACUUGCCUCCGCGGGACGAGCAGGAAGCCUCGGAGGAUGAGGACGACGAGCAAGAAGCCGAGGCUCCGGAGGAGGAGGCGGGGGAGGAGGGUGUUUCCGGCGGCGGGUGGAGCUUCGGAGGAUUGAUGAAGACGUUCUCGUCGCGGUCGGAGUCGGUGCUCGAGGGCUACCGCCGCGACCUCCAGGACCUCGGGUCUGGCCUCCGCGUCGAGACCACGGCCCUUCGUGCAGCCGCUGCGCGAGCUGCGGCGGCGCUCCCUGGCGCGCUCGAGGCCGGUGCGUCCGUCGCUUCCGACAGGCUCGAGUCCGUCGGACAGGCUGUCGAUGACCUUGGGGCUGCCGCUGCUGGACUUCUUUCCCAUGCCAACGAGGCGCUCCGAUCUGUCGACGCUGAUGGCGAAGAUGCGACCGGCGACGGCUCAUCCCAACUCUCUGAGUCCGCCUCCGGAGCCUCCUGGCGUUCGUCCCUUCCAUCCAAGAAGUACACUCGUUUCGAGGCACAGGUUCUGGCGCUGCGUGCCGAUCCUACCACAUUCACCGAGGAGCCUGAGGAUGCCGAGGGGUUCAGCAGGUGGCAGGAGGCAUUCAGCGUCGAAGAGAGAAAAGAUGAGAUUGAAGGCGUGCUCAGGGAGAGUCCUGGGUUGGAGAGCUUCGUGGAGAGGCUUGUGCCUUCGGUGGUAGCCUAUGACAUGUUCUGGUGCAGGUAUUUCUUUGCGGUGGACAAGCUCAGGCAAGCAGAGGAUGUCCGCACCAAACUCGUAAGCAGGGCCAUGUCGAAGGAAGACGAGGAAGAACUCAGCUGGGAGGUUGAUGACGAGGAUGAUAUUCAAGGUGAUCACAAACAAGGCACUGUCACAAUACCAGAUAAGAAAGAGGAGCAAAUCGGUGAGUCUGUUAGCCAUGAAGCACAGGUUGAGGGAAAACAAGAAGUAGCAGUGAAUGAAAAAUACGCAGCGGAAGAUAAGGAGAUGAUUUUGGUAGCGCCAAAGGACGAUAAUGGUGAAUCCAGCGGUGAGGCAUCGACACCAAAGUCAAGCAAUGGCACUGGGCAGGAAGAGAAGACUGAAGCUGGCGACUCAUGUAAGGAGAGUGAUUUAUCACUGGUGUCUCGACCAUCAGUGCAGGAGGAAGAUCUUAGCUGGGAGGAGAUUGAGGAUGUUGGUGAUCAAGAUGAGAAGAAAGCGGGGAGUCCACGGUCAAGCCCUAGUAGCAAAGUGGAGGAUAUCAGAAAACGGUUGAACUCUGUGGAAGACGAUGAAGACCUAAGUUGGGAUGUUGAUGAGUAA